UUGUUGCUUUUUUCCCUUUUCUGAUUGCUACUACUAUUUUGUUGUUUAUGAGGAUUAUGUUAUUCUUUUUAAUUUUUAGAUUUUUUAUUUCUGUAGCUUGGAUGAGCCCGUGAGGUGGGGUUUCAAAGAUUUCCACUUUAUUGAUGCAAGAAUUGGAUGUUGGGUACUAGCACUUGAAGAUAUAUGCUUUAGAUUGAUCCUUUUACGUGCGAGGUCUGAUAGGAGUUUCUUCCGUCAGGUUGAGCAAUGUAUAAAUGAGGAGAAAGCAAGAGCUUGUCAUUUUCUCUGCUCACCUUCAAUUGAGAAGAUGUUGU